rnacentral:rRNA from 1 species
CGGGGUGAGUAACACGUAGGUAACCUGCCUCACACAGGGGGAUAACAGUUAGAAAUGACUGCUAAUACCGCAUAAGCGCACAGGGCCGCAUGGCCCGGUGUGAAAAGCUCCGGCGGUGUGAGAUGGACCUGCGUCUGAUUAGCCAGUUGGCGGGGUAACGGCCCACCAAAGCGACGAUCAGUAGCCGGCCUGAGAGGGUGGACGGCCACAUUGGGACUGAGACACGGCCCAG